CCCAGGUGGAGUGUGGCUGCUGCUGCCAAGUGCAGUUCCUGUAGGAAAGCAACUUUCUUCUAAAUGACACGUUUUUCACGACACGCCACUGGCGCCUGUAAGCGCCUUCAAGCCCAUUCGUUCACCCCACUGGAAAUCCGGAGAGAGCCCUCCAUGCUCUUUCGCCUUUCACUGGCUUGAUGCUGAUGAUUCUGAAAGCCUUGGAGGCUACAUGUCAAAGAUGGAAGAAGCCUGUCUCCUAAAUCAGUACUUGGAGGGGAGCCUGCCACUGAUCAAAGCAAGGAGACUUGGAGUCCAGCGAGGAUUAUCAGUAUUCUUAUAUUACAGAUGAGACAGCUGAAGCACGGAGACAUCAAGUGUCCAAAGUUAUA